GGUCCGAUGGUGUAGUUGGUUAUCACACUCGCUUCACAAGAUCCAUCCAUUCCUCAUGUGCAGGAUGGCAUCCAGAUGCGUUCGCGAGAGGUCAUGAGUUCGAGCCUCGUUCGGAUCA
rnacentral:tRNA from 2 species